GCGCACCAGGCGAGAAACCUCUACAAUGUGCGAAAGCAUGAUAGGGGGACUCCAAGUGUCUCUCUAAAGAGAGACUUUUGUAGUAUGUAAAAAGUACUACGAAUAAGGGGUGGUCAAGACUAGUGCCAGCCUCCGCGGUAACACUAGCAGCCCGAGUGGUAGUCAUUUUUUAUUUGGCUUAAAGCGUCCGUAGUCUGAUUAGUAAGUUCUCUGUGAAAUCCUGUUGCUUAACAAUAGGGCUUGCAGAGAAUACUACCAAUCUUGGAGCCAGGGGGGGGCUAGGGGUAUUCCGGGGGUAGCGGUGAAAUGCUAUAAUCCCCGGAGAACCACCAAUGGCGAAGGCACCUAACUGGAAUGGGCUCGACGAUGAGGGACGAAAGCUAGGGGAGCAAACCGGAUUAGAUACCCC
rnacentral:rRNA from 1 species